CAGCAGCCGCGGUAAUACGAAGGGGGCUAGCGUUGUUCGGAAUUACUGGGCGUAAAGCGCACGUAGGCGGAUAUUUAAGUCAGAGGUGAAAUCCCAAGGCUCAACCUUGGAACUGCCUUUGAUACUGGAAGUCUUGAGUCCGGGAGAGGUGAGUGGAACUGCGAGUGUAGAGGUGAAAUUCGUAGAUAUUCGCAAGAACACCAGUGGCGAAGGCGGCUCACUGGCCCGGUACUGACGCUGAGGCGCGAAAGCGUGGGGAGCAAACAGGAUUAGAUACCCCAGUAGUCCCUGUCUCUUAUAC
rnacentral:rRNA from 1 species